GGGAAUCUUGGUCAAUGGGCGCAAGCCUGAACCAGCGACGCCGCGUGAGUGAUGAAGGCCUUCGGGUUGUAAAGCUCUGUGGGGAGGGACGAAAGAGCUCAAUCUAAUAGGUUGAGUAGUUGACGGUACCUCCUUAGCAAGCACCGGCUAACUCUGUGCCAGCAGCCGCGGUAAGACAGAGGGUGCAAACGUUGCUCGGAAUUACUGGGCGUAAAGCGCGUGUAGGCGGGUUUCCAAGUCAGAUGUGAAAUCCCCGGGCUCAACCCGGGAACUGCAUUUGAAACUGGGAGUCUUGAGUAUCGGAGAGGAAAGCGGAAUUCCCGGUGUAGAGGUGAAAUUCGUAGAUAUCAGGAGGAACACCGGUGGCGAAGGCGGCUUUCUGGACGAUAACUGACGCUGAGACGCGAAAGCGUGGGGAGCAAA
rnacentral:rRNA from 1 species